rnacentral:lncRNA from 1 species
GACUCCCUCGGCGAAGAGGCCCCCGCGGCCGGCCGAGCUCCGUGGACUCCGCAGGAGCGGCCCCGCCCCUCACACUACGCCGGGCGGUUCCCUCCGAGCCCCGCCGGGACAGCGUCGACGCUGCACACACCCCAGAGAAGCCAGAGGACGGCGCCUGCACCGGACACAGCGCAACACCGGCACAGCACAGCGUCCACACCACAAGUGAGCCUAGGCAGCUGUGUCUACACUGCAGACGCCGGCCUGAGCGCACGCGUCUUCAUGCAGGCUCAGCAGAGGGGGAAGAACACCUCCCCGAGGGUGGAAGAGCUGUGGCCAGCAGACAGAUGGACGGACAGACGGACACAGGCGAACAGGCAGCGCAGGGGUGAGCCGAGCCGGUCAAAUGGGCCAGGACCCGGCUCCGUGUGCCCUUCACAGUCAGGAUGACAGAACCCCGUGGAAUAUGAAAAAUGCCGGGAGACAGACCCCGGAGGCACAGCCCCUCACCGGGCAGGGAGGCCGCCAGAGGGAAGCGCAGCUCCAGGUGCGCGCCCCCCCACGCCCACCCCAUCCCCCGCUGGGCAGGGAGGGACCCCACCUGCGCCCUCAGGCGGUGCUCAAGAUGGGGAUAGGGUGAGCUGCAGAACCGAUUUCAUCUCUGGAGUGAAAUGGAAUGAUGGGUUUGUGUGAAAUCAGGACAGAGCUGGGGAGGUGGCGGAGCCGGGACGGGAAGAGGGCAGAGCAGUGGGCUCAUUCCCCGGAACCAGCAUCUCCUGGCCCGGUUUAGCCACUGAGGGAAGCUUCUCUGUGUAUUGAGCCUGGCUGCCCAGAGAGCAGCCCCACCCUCCCUCCUGCUCCUGCUCCUCUCCCUCCCCCAACUUCUCGUCCCCUCUUCCUCACCCCUGCCCCCACCUCCAGCCUGACUCUAACGCUGCACUGGCCUUUAGUGUCUCAGAACACAGAGCAGUUGCUGGGCAGAAUCCCCCGUGCCACGAUGCGUCCACGCACAACACGGGAACUAAACCACCCGAAACGCAGCAGGUUAAAGCAGCGCUGGGCUCCUGGUCCUCACAAUUCUCUGGGUCCAUGGGGGCUCCCUGGGCUGGCUCAUGGGCCGCCAUGGUCACCAGCAGGGCUGGCCAGGCCGGGCAGCAGACGGCUCCUGGCAGCUGGCGGGUGGGGCUGGCCGUCGCUGCGGCCUGGGCUGUCCUCCGCACGGCCUCCUGCCUCAGUUUUCUGUUUCUGAUGAGCCCCGUAUCUAGCGGUUCAGAGCAACGCCAGUUCAUCCCCUGGCAGCUUCCAUGGCCAGGACUCAGCCACGGUGUGGGUGGAUUUGCCACUCAGGGCUCACAGCCUGGAGUCCAGGUGCCAGCAGGGCAGGUGCCGUUCUGCAGGCUCUGGGGAAGAACCCGCCUGCAGGCUCGCGGGGGGGCCUGGCAGCUCUGGGGGCCUGCAGCGGCAGGGCUGAGGUCCCGGCCUCCUUGCAGGUUGUCAGCCGGGUCCCCUCUCGGCUCCUGAAGGCUGCCGGCAUCUUCCUCUCAAGGGCCCUUCCCAUCUUCCAACCGGAAACAGCAUGGCCAGUUCUCCUGGCUCUGAGGGGCUAGUGAGCAGGCGAGGCCACCCCGAUGACCCCCCUUUUGAGUUUAACUGAGGACGGCGCACGUCCUCACGUUCCAGGGCUCCUGUGGAGAAAUUCCGCACACCACCCUCACCUUCCUGUAGGUCAGGCCGGUUCCUUCUGCGGUGGGCGUGGGAGAGCCACAGCCCAGUGGAGAGGCGUUGCAAGGCCCCACACCCCUUCCACCAUGUUCUACCAACCACGGCAAAUCAAAGGCCACCGAGACCCAGGGCCUAGGGACACAGACCCAUCCCGGGAGGGGAGGUGCCGCCCAGUCACAGUCCCACCAGUGCAUGGACACAGGGAGAAUUGCCCGGGCCCCGGGUUUGGUGAAUCCGGCAGCCCGCCCUCUGCCCCAGCGAGUCCCUUCCCCUCUCAUAAAACCGCAUUCUCCCCUCCCUAGACCACCAGAGCCCCAUCUGAUUAAGGCAUCGAGAUCAAAGCUCAGCAGAGGGCGGCUCAUGAUGGGCAGCUCAAAAAAAUAAACCCACCAAUCAGAGUCCGUGUUCCUGUGACCGGUGGCGGGUUCGGAUGCAGAGGAGGCUUCUCAGUGCGGUUCCUCCUCAUCUCGGAACCUGCCACCCCACUCAAGCCCGACAUAGGCCAGGACAGCCAGGACGGCCGCAGCGAGGGCAACACGAGGCCCGUCGACAUCCUGAGGCCCCCGGGCCUGUCGCCGAGUCCCGGCUUGGGGAGUGUCCCCGGGCCACACUGGUCCUGCUCCCGGCUGUGUGGUCUCCCAGGCGCGUGGCUCCUCCCUCCGGGGCCCAGGCUCUGGUGUGAGCCACUUUUUCCAUAGGAGACGCCCAUACUUGCAGCUCACGCCUUUGUCUGGUGCCCUGGCCUCACACCUAUAGGAAUUGGGUACCUGGGGGCCUCUUCAUCUUUACUUGUCUCAGCUUAGAGAAGCCCAGCUACACUUCCUCCAUGCCUGGAUUCAUGCACGGCCCCACAGGGUGAGGCCUGGACACCCUCACGGGCACUGGGGCUCCACGGAUGCAGAAGGCAGCCUGGCCCGGUAGCUCGGGGGUCUGAGAUGGAGGUGGAGUAAGACAGAGUGACAAAGGCUGCGUCCUGGAGGCAGGCUCGGAGCCUCCCUGAGCUCAGAGAGCCCGCGUGCGCCAGGAAGCCACACCUGCAGGACCCGAGUCGGAACUCAGAGGCUGGUACAGCCGCGGUGCUUGUCCUGUAGAUAAGAAUGGCCUCCUCUGGCGGCCAAAGUUAAUUAAACUGACAAUCUUGAUAAGUUGCACAGUUACCUGCUCGGGGACAAAGAAGAUGGGAGCCUUGUUUGUGGUUUCUUCUUGUUCUUUCCUGUGCCCCACAGUCAUUUUAAAAUUAAAUUAAAUGGCUUAUCUGCACUAACCCAAGUUGACCGGCUGGUAUUUCCUGGGCGGCGAAGUGCUGGCUGCCCGGCCUGUGCCCUGCACACGCUCCCCAUCAGAGCACAACGUCGCCGGGCCACG